rnacentral:antisense_RNA from 1 species
CUUGAUCGAGCCGAGCCACAGCGGCUCGCCGUCGGCGCGGUGCUGCCCGUAGGUGGCGAGCAGCGCCUGCGCCUC